CCUACGGGUGGCAGCAGUGAGGAAUAUUGGUCAAUGGCCGAGAGCCUGAACCAGCCAAGUCGCGUGAGGGAAGACGGCCCUACGGGUUGUACACCUCUUUUGUCGGGGAGCAAAGCGCACCACGUGUGGUUCUUUGAGAGUACCCGAAGAAAAAGUAUCGACUAACUCCGUGCCAGCAGCCGCGGUAAUACGGAGGAUGCGAGCGUUAUCCGGAUGUAUUGGGUGUAAAGGGUGCGCAGGCGGAGGUGCAAGUCAGCGGUCAAAUUGCGGGGCUCAACCCCGUCCUGCCGGUGAAACUGCUUCCCUUGAGUGAGCGAGAAGUAUGCGGAAUGCGUGGUGUAGCGGUGAAAUGCAUAGAUAUCACGCAGAACGCCGAUUGCGAAGGCAGCAUACCGGCGCGCAACUGACGCUCAUGCACGAAAGCGUGGGUAUCGAACAGGAUUAGAUACCCCAGUAGUC
rnacentral:rRNA from 1 species